rnacentral:rRNA from 1 species
GUAGGGAAUAUUGGGCAAUGGAGGCAACUCUGACCCAGCCAUGCCGCGUGCAGGAUGACGGCCCUCUGGGUUGUAAACUGCUUUUAUACGGGAAGAAAAAAUACUACGUGUAGUAUACUGACGGUACCGUAAGAAUAAGGAUCGGCUAACUCCGUGCCAGCAGCCGCGGUAAUCCGGAGGAUCCAAUCGUUGUCCGGAUUUAUUGGGUUUAAAGGGUGCGUAGGCGGAUCGUUAAGUCAGUGGUGAAAGCCUGCAGCUUAACUGUAGAAUUGCCAUUGAAACUGAAGAGCUUGAAUGUGGUUAAAGUAGGCGGAAUGUAUCAUGUAGCGGUGAAAUGCUUAGAUAUGAUACAGAACACCGAUAGCGAAGGCAGCUUGCUGAACCAUUAUUGACGCUGAGGCACGAAAGCGUGGGGAGCGAACAGGAUUAGAAACCCCGGUAGUCC